UAAUGGUUAACUUAUAGUAAGCAAUCAUCAUAUAAAAAAGUCGAUUAAUGCCUGGAUGAAAAUCUUUUUGAAGACCAGAUCGGUACUGAAAAGAAAGAGCAGCAGACAGUCAAGCACAUUAGAUGAAAACAAAAAAAAUUAGUUUAUCUUCAAAGCCCAUCAAAAUCUGCAUGAGUGGCAUCACCUCAGCUACAAGUGCCAUGGUCCACUGUCAUCUGGUCGGUGAUUUUGUUUCAGCAAGCUCUACUACAGUGUUUUUCUACGAUAGACACCAUCUUUUGUUUUGUCAAUGCCGGUGCCUCUUGUGGGCAGUUUUUGCAAUG
rnacentral:lncRNA from 1 species